UACGAAGGGUGCAAGCGUUAAUCGGAAUUACUGGGCGUAAAGCGUGCGUAGGUGGUCUUUUAAGUCCGUUGUGAAAGCCCUGGGCUCAACCUGGGAAUGGCAGUGGAUACUGGAAGGCUGGAGUACGGUAGAGGAGGGUGGAAUUCCCGGUGUAGCGGUGAAAUGCGUAGAGAUCGGGAGGAACACCGAUGGCGAAGGCAGGUCUCUGGGCCGAUACUGACGCUGAGGAGCGAAAGCGUGGGGAGCGAACAGG
rnacentral:rRNA from 1 species